UGCCAGCAGCCGCGGUAAUACGUAGGUCCCGAGCGUUGUCCGGAUUUAUUGGGCGUAAAGCGAGCGCAGGUGGUUUAUUAAGUCUGGUGUAAAAGGCAGUGGCUCAACCGUUGUAUGCAUUGGAAACUGGUAGACUUGAGUGCAGGAGAGGAGAGUGGAAUUCCAUGUGUAGCGGUGAAAUGCGUAGAUAUAUGGAGGAACACCGGUGGCGAAAGCGGCUCUCUGGCCUGUAACUGACACUGAGGCUCGAAAGCGUGGGGAGCAAACAGGAUUAGAUACCCUGGUAGUCC
rnacentral:rRNA from 1 species